AAACAGGACAUAUUUCCACUUUUGUUAUUACUGUAGAUUUUUUAAAUUCAAAUGCUGGAUGCGUGAAAGACGUUUUUCGUUGGGCUCCACCUUCUUUCCACAGAUAAGAAUAUUUUUUUCCUAAAUAAGAUAUCAAGAUUGCGAAAUGACAUACACACAUAUAAAUGUCAACUUACCAACUGUGCACAAGGUUUUUCUGGUGUAAAAUAAACGAACUAAGUACUAUCCAAGAGAAACACCAACAGCGAAUGCAACGACUCACAGUUCUCUCGAUCAACUGCCACAGGAAUGUCAGUAGCCGGUAUGUCCAAUUUCAACUUUCGGCGCCGACUAAGCGUUUCAGAAAUGGUUGUCUAGCAAGUUGGCGUUAAAGCACCAUAUUUGGCAACUUCUCCGAACAAAGUUACUGCUCAUGUCUGAAAUUGAAAGCGCCAGCUCAUUCCGCUUUGAUUUCCUAUUACUGAACGUUUUGUUUGGCUUAUUUCGAUUACAGCAAAGCACUCGAGGACUAUGUGCUUAAGAAGAAGGAUGCUUAAAAAAAAACUUAGUAUGUUCCCCUUUCUUAGGCACCACAGGGAAAGGAAGGAAUGCUAUGUCGAGGCCUUUUUAAGAGAAACUGGCUAGUAUACAUGGAUAAAACCACGAUAACGCUCUUUUCAAGCCCUUUCUCCUGGACUCGAACCCCGGACAGACUUACAAUGUUCAACGGCUUUUACUGCUCUGCCGCUGGUAGACCACGGAGGGCUUUUUAAAAGAGUUCAUGGGAGAUUUUCUAAGGGAUACAUAGCGGUCUUCUUAAGGGAAACAGUUUCGUAUUAUAUGCCCAUGCAGCCAGCCUGUUCGCCGAGACUCGAGCCACGGAUCGAACUACCAGUGUUCAUCAACUUUGCAGCUGGUGGGCGUCAUUACUGAUAGAGCUAAUUGCUUGGGGUUUCUGUGGAUUCCCACUCCAUGUGUAGCACAAAUUGUGGUUGGUUUUGUUAAUUCACAAGGAAGUAAUUCUAUGGAAACAACCAGACUUAUCUUACUUAGACAGCCAAACUUACAGCGCUUUGUCAUGAUUAUUUAACCAAGACAUUAAAUAACAUAAAAUACAUUUCA